GAGGAAUAUUGGUCAAUGGGCGAGAGCCUGAACCUGAACCCAGCCAAGUAGCGUGAAGGAUGAAGGCUCUAUGGGUCGUAAACUUCUUUUAUAUGGGAAUAAAGUUUUCCACGUGUGGAAUUUUGUAUGUACCAUAUGAAUAAGGAUCGGCUAACUCC
rnacentral:rRNA from 1 species